rnacentral:rRNA from 1 species
CCUACGGGGUGCAGCAGUCGAGAAUCAUUCACAAUGGGGGAAACCCUGAUGGUGCGACGCCGCGUGGGGGAAUGAAGGUCUUCGGAUUGUAAACCCCUGUCAUGUGGGAGCAAAUUAAAAGGAUAGUACAACAAGAGGAAGAGACGGCUAACUCUGUGCCAGCAGCCGCGGUAAUACAGAGGUCUCAAGCGUUGUUCGGAAUCACUGGGCGUAAGGGGUGCGUAGGCUGUUUCGUAAGUCGUGUGUGAAGGGCGCGGGCUCAACCCGCGGACGGCACAUGAUACUGCGAGACUAGAGUAAUGGAGGGGGAACCGGAAUUCGCGGUGUAGCAGUGAAAUGCGUAGAUAUCGAGAGGAACACUCGUGGCGAAGGCGGGUUCCUGGACAUUAACUGACGCUGAGGCACGAAGGCCAGGGGAGCGAAAGGGAUUAGAUACCCCAGUAGUC